rnacentral:rRNA from 1 species
CAUGCAAGUCGAACGGCAGCACAGGAGAGCUUGCUCUCUGGGUGGCGAGUGGCGGACGGGUGAGGAAUACAUCGGAAUCUACUUUUUCGUGGGGGAUAACGUAGGGAAACUUACGCUAAUACCGCAUACGACCUACGGGUGAAAGCAGGGGACCUUCGGGCCUUGCGCGAUUGAAUGAGCCGAUGUCGGAUUAGCUAGUUGGCGGGGUAAAGGCCCACCAAGGCGACGAUCCGUAGCUGGUCUGAGAGGAUGAUCAGCCACACUGGAACUGAGACACGGUCCAGACUCCUACGGGAGGCAGCAGUGGGGAAUAUUGGACAAUGGGCGCAAGCCUGAUCCAGCCAUACCGCGUGGGUGAAGAAGGCCUUCGGGUUGUAAAGCCCUUUUGUUGGGAAAGAAAUCCAGCCGGCUAAUACCUGGUUGGGAUGACGGUACCCAAAGAAUAAGCACCGGCUAACUUCGUGCCAGCAGCCGCGGUAAUACGAAGGGUGCAAGCGUUACUCGGAAUUACUGGGCGUAAAGCGUGCGUAGGUGGUUGUUUAAGUCUGUUGUGAAAGCCCUGGGCUCAACCUGGGAACUGCAGUGGAAACUGGACAACUAGAGUGUGGUAGAGGGUAGCGGAAUUCCCGGUGUAGCAGUGAAAUGCGUAGAGAUCGGGAGGAACAUCCAUGGCGAAGGCAGCUACCUGGACCAACACUGACACUGAGGCA